UGCAUGUCUCAGUACUUGCCUACCUAAGGCGAAACCGCGAAUGGCUCAUUAAAUCAGUCAUGAUUCAUUGGAUGUUGUCAAAUCCUUACUCGGAUAACUGUGGUAAUUCUAGAGCUAAUACGUGCAACUAAGCUCCGACCCUGCCGGGGAGUCCUUCGCGUCGCCUCGGUCGGGGGAAGGGCGCAUUUGUUAGACCAAAAACCGGGUGGAAAGUAAGCGCGCGCCUCGCGCACGCCCAAAUCCUCCAAAUACGGUUACGUGGUGACUCUGAAUAACUACAGCCGAGCGCUGAGGUCAUAGUACCGGCGCCGUAUCCUUCGAGUGUCUGCCUUAUCAGCUCUCGAUUGUAGGUUAUUCGCCUACAAUGGCUGUAACGGGUAACGGGGAAUCAGGGUUCGAUUCCGGAGAGGGAGCCUGAGAAACGGCUACCACAUCUAAGGAAGGCAGCAGGCACGCAAAUUACCCAAUCCCGGCUCGGGGAGGUAGUGACGAAAAAUAACGAUGCGGGACUCUUCCGAGGCCUCGCAAUCGGAAUGAGUUCAAUUUAAAUCCUUGGACGAGGAUCCAUUGGAGGGCAAGUCUGGUGCCAGCAGCCGCGGUAAUUCCAGCUCCAAUAGCGUAUAUUAAAGUU
rnacentral:rRNA from 1 species